CUAAAAAUUGACUAAAAAUCAGUCUUUCCCCACUUUACUUAGAAAUUGUAGACUCGAAAAGAACAAAAGAAAAAAAAAAAAUUUCUCUUUCAAAAUCCAUGGAGAACCCUAAAAAAAUCUAAAUCUUAUUUUCUCUUCUUCUUCUCUUCUUCAUCUCCUUCACAUCUUCUUCUUCUUUCUCCCUAGGGUUAAGAGUAGCGAGAAGCUAAGAUUUUGGCUAAGAAGUCAUAAGUGAGAUGAGAGAGAACGAAUUGAAGCUGCGAUGAAGUGUUUGAGCUUGUCGACGACGGUGAUAAAGGGUGGGUACGAUCGACCAGGUACGGUGCGACAGAUGAAGAUGGAGGGGAAAGGUACGGUGCGACAGAUGAAGAUCUCGUGACUCUUCAAGGCAUGGCGGAGGCGUCUCUUUCUAUUAAUCUUGCCGAGCAGCCGAGAUUUCCAAUUCGAUUUGUCCAUGCUCGAUUUCCGCAGAGAUUCUCGUUAAGGCUUCGCUAAAGGCAAAAAAAUCACAAUCAAAAAGUCGACACUUCUCCAGAUAUCGGGCCUAGCGUGAAAGCAGCUGCCUCUUCUCAAAUGGAGGCAGUCAUCAAUGCCUUGCAGCUCCUGGUUUCGUUCUUCUUUCUCUCCUCUUUAUCUAUUCAUAUCUGGCUUAAUCAAUCAAAGGUUACUUGAUAUUACCACUGUGUUUUCUUAAAGGGAUCACGUUGCUGCUCAGAUUUAAGAAACUAAUGAUGGUAAUUAGAAUCGUUGAUGUGGUGCCGGUGUCGUUUUGGUGUCUUUGCUGGUGAGGAUUUGAGGAGGACUUUGUUUGUUUCCAUGGUGUUUCUUCUACUCUCAUCUGAUUUGACGGCCAAGUAAUAAAGACAGCAAAAGCAGCAGACUCAAGUUAUUGACCCAUUCAGUAUUCUUGGACUGGAACUUGGAGUUACCGAUUUUGAAAUUAAGAAAGCAUAUAGAAGGCUCUCCAUUCAAUACCAUCCCGACAAAAAAUCCAGAUCCAGCAAAGUUAUGGAAGUUUUCACCAAGGCAGCUAUGGAGAUUCUAGUUCGUAGAACUGAUGAUAAACCUUUGCAGAAGCUCUUUAUGUGUGUUAGGAGUGAGCUAAAUUUGGAUCUGAAGAACAUGAAGCAAGAUCAAGCUAAGUUUUGGAAACAGCAUCCUGCCGUAGUGAAGACGUAGUUGUUGAUACAUGCCCAGCUAACUCGUGAAUCAAGAGUCUUGUCUCCAGCCCUUCAGGGCGAUUUCAUGCGUGUGCUAGAGCUUGCACCUCGCCUCUUUGAGGAGUUGUUGAAGGUCUAGAAAAGUCUCUAGGUUCAUGUUUUUGUUGAUUCUGGCACUUGUAAUGUUAGGUUAAGACUUGGUUUGAGACUUGUAAUAUAUGUAGUGUAUUGUGGUUGAAAUGUUUAAAAUGUAUAUGUACGGUAUUUCAUUUUAUAAAGUUUUUCUUAUAUA